ACUACAUCAUCCAAAAUGUAUCAUCCAAACUACAUCAUCUAAUUUUCUUAAGAAAAUCACAAAUGUAUCAUCUAAAAUACAUCAUUCAAAUAUCCUAAUUCAAGAUCUAUGAAGUAUUUGUCUGUUUUCGCAACUUUCAGAUUUGAAGUCUGAUAUUCCAUGGUCGAGGAGAAACAAAACCCUAAUCUCAGAUCUUUGGGAGAGAACUUGAAAAGCAAGGAAACGCGUCUGACAAAUGAUCUGUCCUCAAGUUCAUCCUUUCUCAAUUAUGGAAAUGAUUCCUCUAUCUUCAAUUAAAUCGGUUUCUUUUCAUUUGCAUUUUAGAGUUAUGGAAAUGAUUCCUCUGAUUUGAAUCAAAUUGGUUUCAUUUCAUUUGUAUUUCACCUCUGACUUGUCAGAUCCAAUAUUUAUCACUGCUAUGCCCUCUCAGGCUCUCCUGAGCCUUUAAGAGUGUUUUUGGCGAGAAGAAGAGGAAAGUCUCCUCAGCGAUUUUGGUCUUGAAAUCGAAGAAGAAAGGCGUAGCUGACCUAAUCUCCCUUAGUUUCACUGAAGUCUUGUAGAAGAUGGUUGAUGCUGAGGAUAUUCAACCUCGCCUCUGCGAUAAUGGAACUGGAAUGGUCUAAGGAAAUUAGAGAAUUCCCCAUCUCAAAUUAGAGUUAUACCUGGAGUCGAGAAAGAGAGAUCGAGAGAGAAGCCCCGACUUGAGUUUCUUUUGUCCACCGUUAGGAGAGAAGACGAGGCAGCGGACAAUGGUUUGAGAGACUUGUGGACAAGACGAAGGGAGAGGCUGGCGGUUUGAGUGACUUGCGGACAAUGGUUAGAGAGAUGCCCCUAACCAGCAUUUUUCUCACCGUUGGGAGAGAAGACAAGACGGAGCGAGAGGCCAGCGGACAGCAAAGUGAUGG